rnacentral:rRNA from 1 species
UACGUAGGGCGCAAGCGUUGUCCGGAAUUAUUGGGCGUAAAGAGCUCGUAGGCGGCUUGUCACGUCGGGUGUGAAAUCCCCAGGCUUAACCUGGGAACUGCAUCCGAUACUGGAUGGCUUGAAUCCGGGAGAGGGAUGCAGAAUUCCAGGUGUAGCGGUGAAAUGCGUAGAUAUCUGGAGGAAUACCGGUGGCGAAGGCGGUAUCCUGGACCGGCAUUGACGCUGAGGAGCGAAAGCUAGGGGAGCAAACGGG